rnacentral:rRNA from 1 species
GACGAACGCUGGCGGCGUGCUUAACACAUGCAAGUCGAACGGAAAGUCCCUGCUUUUGUGGGGUGCUCGAGUGGCGAACGGGUGAGUCACACGUGAGUAACCUUCCCUUGACUUUGGGAUAACUUCAAGAAACUGGAGUUCAUACCGGAUAGUAGCGCCUGCUGCAUGGUGGGGGUUGGAUAGUUUCGGAGGUUAGGGAUGGACUCGCGGCUUAUCAGCUGGUUGGUGGGGUAGUGGCUUACCAAGGCUUUGACGGGUAGCCGGCCUGAGAGGGUGACCGGGAAACGGGGGAGAGAGAUACGGGCGGGAGUAGUACGGGAGGCAGCAGUAUGGGAUAGUGCCUGAUGGACGGAAGCCUGGUGAAGCAAGGCCGCGUUAUGGAUGGCGGACUUCGGGUGGUAAGCGGUAAUCGCAUGCUACGGAGAGUAGCUGACGGUAAUGGAUAAAGAAGCACCGGCUAACUACGUG